GAUGAACGCUGGCGGCGUGCUUAACACAUGCAAGUCGAACGGAAAGGCCGAAGCUUGCUUCGGUACUCGAGUGGCGAACGGGUGAGUAACACGUGGGUGAUCUGCCCUGUACUUCGGGAUAAGCUUGGGAAACUGGGUCUAAUACCGGAUAUGACAAUCUCUUGGAUGGGGUUGUGGAAAGCUUUUGCGGUAUGGGAUGAGCUCGCGGCCUAUCAGCUUGUUGGUGGGGUAAUGGCCUACCAAGGCGUCGACGGGUAGCCGGCCUGAGAGGGUGUACGGCCACAUUGGGACUGAGAUACGGCCCAGACUCCUACGGGAGGCAGCAGUGGGGAAUAUUGCACAAUGGGCGCAAGCCUGAUGCAGCGACGCCGCGGGGGGGAUGACGGCCUUCGGGUUGUAAACUCCUUUCGCAACCGACGAAGCUUUUUGUGACGGUAGGUUGAGAAGAAGCACCGGCUAACUACGUG
rnacentral:rRNA from 1 species